GACGAACGCUGGCGGCGUGCUUAACACAUGCAAGUCGAACGGAAAGGCCCUGCUUUUGUGGGGUGCUCGAGUGGCGAACGGGGGAGUAACACGUGAGUAACCUGCCCUUGACUUUGGGAUAACUUCAGGAAACUGGGGCUAAUACCGGAUAGGAGAUCCUGCUGCAUUGUGGGGGUUGGAAAGUUUCGGCGGUUGGGGAUGGACUCGCGGCUUAUCAGCUUGUUGGUGGGGUAGUGGCUUACCAAGGCUUUGACGGGUAGCCGGCCUGAGAGGGUGACCGGCCACAUUGGGACUGAGAGACGGCCCAGACUCCUACGGGAGGCAGCAGUGGGGAGUAUUGCACAAUGGGCGGAAGCCUGAUGCAGCAACGCCGCGUGCGGGAUGACGGCCUUCGGGUUGUAAACCGCUUUCGCCUGUGACGAAGCGUGAGUGACGGUAAUGGGUAAAGAAGCACCGGCUAACUACGUG
rnacentral:rRNA from 1 species